GCCCUGAUGGCCAAGUGGUAAGGCGCAUCACUCGUACUUUUCCUUCUUUUCGGACGGUCAAAAACGCGAUGAUGAGAUCGGGUGUUCAAUCCACCCUCAGGGCA